rnacentral:rRNA from 3 species
UUUGGUUAAGUUAGAAAGGGCGCACGGUGGAUGCCUUGACACUAGGAGUCGAUGAAGGACGGGACUAACGCCGAUAUGCUUCGGGGAGCUGUAAGUAAGCUUUGAUCCGAAGAUUUCCGAAUGGGGAAACCCACCAUACGUAAUGGUAUGGUAUCCUUACCUGAAUACAUAGGGUAAGGAAGACAGACCCAGGGAACUGAAACAUCUAAGUACCUGGAGGAAGAGAAAGCAAAUGCGAUUUCCUGAGUAGCGGCGAGCGAAACGGAACAUAGCCCAAACCAAGAGGCUUGCCUCUUGGGGUUGUAGGACAUUCUAUACGGAGUUACAAAGGAACGAGGUAGACGAAGCGACCUGGAAAGGUCCGUCGUAGAGGGUAACAACCCCGUAGUCGAAACUUCGUUCUCUCUUGAAUGUAUCCUGAGUACGGCGGAACACGUGAAAUUCCGUCGGAAUCUGGGAGGACCAUCUCCCAAGGCUAAAUACUCCCUAGUGAUCGAUAGUGAACCAGUACCGUGAGGGAAAGGUGAAAAGCACCCCGGAAGGGGAGUGAAAGAGAUCCUGAAACCGUGUGCCUACAAAUAGUCAGAGCCCGUUAACGGGUGAUGGCGUGCCUUUUGUAGAAUGAACCGGCGAGUUACGAUCCCGUGCGAGGUUAAGCUGAAGAGGCGGAGCCGCAGCGAAAGCGAGUCUGAAUAGGGCGUUUAGUACGUGGUCGUAGACCCGAAACCAGGUGAUCUACCCAUGUCCAGGGUGAAGUUCAGGUAACACUGAAUGGAGGCCCGAACCCACGCACGUUGAAAAGUGCGGGGAUGAGGUGUGGGUAGCGGAGAAAUUCCAAUCGAACCUGGAGAUAGCUGGUUCUCCCCGAAAUAGCUUUAGGGCUAGCCUUAAGUGUAAGAGUCUUGGAGGUAGAGCACUGAUUGGACUAGGGGUCCUCAUCGGAUUACCGAAUUCAGUCAAACUCCGAAUGCCAAUGACUUAUCCUUAGGAGUCAGACUGCGAGUGAUAAGAUCCGUAGUCAAAAGGGAAACAGCCCAGACCGCCAGCUAAGGUCCCAAAGUGUGUAUUAAGUGGAAAAGGAUGUGGAGUUGCUUAGACAACUAGGAUGUUGGCUUAGAAGCAGCCACCAUUUAAAGAGUGCGUAAUAGCUCACUAGUCGAGUGACUCUGCGCCGAAAAUGUACCGGGGCUAAAUACACCACCGAAGCUGCGGAUUGAUACCGAAUGGUAUCAGUGGUAGGGGAGCGUUCUAAGGACAGUGAAGUCAGACCGGAAGGACUGGUGGAGUGCUUAGAAGUGAGAAUGCCGGUAUGAGUAGCGAAAGACGGGUGAGAAUCCCGUCCACCGAAUGCCUAAGGUUUCCUGAGGAAGGCUCGUCCGCUCAGGGUUAGUCAGGACCUAAGCCGAGGCCGACAGGCGUAGGCGAUGGACAACAGGUUGAUAUUCCUGUACCACCUCUUUAUCGUUUGAGCAAUGGAGGGACGCAGAAGGAUAGAAGAAGCGUGCGAUUGGUUGUGCACGUCCAAGCAGUUAGGCUGAUAAGUAGGCAAAUCCGCUUAUCGUGAAGGCUGAGCUGUGAUGGGGAAGCUCCUUAUGGAGCGAAGUCUUUGAUUCCCCGCUGCCAAGAAAAGCUUCUAGCGAGAUAAAAGGUGCCUGUACCGCAAACCGACACAGGUAGGCGAGGAGAGAAUCCUAAGGUGUGCGAGAGAACUCUGGUUAAGGAACUCGGCAAAAUGACCCCGUAACUUCGGGAGAAGGGGUGCUUUCUUAACGGAAAGCCGCAGUGAAUAGGCCCAAGCGACUGUUUAGCAAAAACACAGCUCUCUGCGAAGCCGUAAGGCGAAGUAUAGGGGGUGACACCUGCCCGGUGCUGGAAGGUUAAGGAGAGGGGUUAGCGUAAGCGAAGCUCUGAACUGAAGCCCCAGUAAACGGCGGCCGUAACUAUAACGGUCCUAAGGUAGCGAAAUUCCUUGUCGGGUAAGUUCCGACCCGCACGAAAGGUGUAACGAUUUGGGCACUGUCUCAACCAGAGACUCGGUGAAAUUAUAGUACCUGUGAAGAUGCAGGUUACCCGCGACAGGACGGAAAGACCCCGUGGAGCUUUACUGUAGCCUGAUAUUGAAUUUUGGUACAGUUUGUACAGGAUAGGCGGGAGCCUUUGAAACCGGAGCGCUAGCUUCGGUGGAGGCGCUGGUGGGAUACCGCCCUGACUGUAUUGAAAUUCUAACCUACGGGUCUUAUCGACCCGGGAGACAGUGUCAGGUGGGCAGUUUGACUGGGGCGGUCGCCUCCUAAAGUGUAACGGAGGCGCCCAAAGGUUCCCUCAGAAUGGUUGGAAAUCAUUCGUAGAGUGCAAAGGCAUAAGGGAGCUUGACUGCGAGACCUACAAGUCGAGCAGGGACGAAAGUCGGGCUUAGUGAUCCGGUGGUUCCGCAUGGAAGGGCCAUCGCUCAACGGAUAAAAGCUACCCCGGGGAUAACAGGCUUAUCUCCCCCAAGAGUCCACAUCGACGGGGAGGUUUGGCACCUCGAUGUCGGCUCAUCGCAUCCUGGGGCUGUAGUCGGUCCCAAGGGUUGGGCUGUUCGCCCAUUAAAGCGGUACGCGAGCUGGGUUCAGAACGUCGUGAGACAGUUCGGUCCCUAUCCGUCGUGGGCGUAGGAAAUUUGAGAGGAGCUGUCCUUAGUACGAGAGGACCGGGAUGGACGCACCGCUGGUGUACCAGUUGUUCUGCCAAGGGCAUAGCUGGGUAGCUAUGUGCGGAAGGGAUAAGUGCUGAAAGCAUCUAAGCAUGAAGCCCCCCUCAAGAUGAGAUUUCCCAUAGCGUAAGCUAGUAAGAUCCCUGAAAGAUGAUCAGGUUGAUAGGUUCGAGGUGGAAGCAUGGUGACAUGUGGAGCUGACGAAUACUAAUAGAUCGAGGACUUAACCAUAUAA